GACCUGCGGAGGGCGAGGGCGGGUUGGAGGUCGCUGUCCUUUCUGGGAACCGAGCAGGGGUCGCAGGAGGGCGGGGAUGGGUCAGCGGUCCCCUUUGAGUGGGGUUUGGCUGGGAGAGGCCACAGCUUAAUCUUUGGGAAGCUACCCUGGGUCGGCCACACGCCGCGAGCCAGACUGGCAAGGCCCCUCCGCCUCCACUGUGCUCCUCGACCCGAGAAACUCAGCUUAGCCCUAGCCUCCCGGCAACCUCCCUUUGGCUCCGCCUUUUAAAGGGCCUUUACGGUAAAUAACCCCGACGCUUAGCGGGGCUGCUGCUUCUGGGCCCUCAAACUUACCCAGGCCCCUUCCAUGGCCAUGCAAGAGGGAGGUCUUAACAACGUGUUCACACGAUCAUGGUUUAAAAAAUAUAUGCACCACAAAACUGCGCCCUUGCCUGAUUUCAUUUCAGCAAGCUUUACUGUGAAGUGUUUAUGUGCCAGGCACCAUGUAUAGAAGCGCUGGCCCAAAGAUGAAGAUGAAGUUUCUAUCCUUAAGGCAUGCGGUGUGGGAGAUGAACAGAGACAGACAAGAAAGCCACAGAGGAGAAGGUGAUGUGAAGACAGAAGCAGGGAUUGGAGUGAUCCAUCUAUAAGCCAAGAAAUACCAAUGGUUGCUGCCAACCACCAGGGUCUAGGAGAGUGGCAUGGAACAGAUUUUCCCUCAGAGCUUCCAGAAAGAACUAACCCUGUCAACACUGUGAUUCUGGACUGUGAGAGAGAAAUUUCUGUUGUUUUAAGCCGUCAAGUUUGUGGUAAUUUGUUAUGGCAGCCGUAGGAAACUCAUCACCUAGUAAAUCCAAAUUAAAUAUUAUCCCAAUUUU